rnacentral:rRNA from 1 species
CCUACGGGUGGCUGCAGUGGGGAAUAUUGGACAAUGGGCGAAAGCCUGAUCCAGCCAUGCCGCGUGUGUGAAGAAGGCCUUCGGGUUGUAAAGCACUUUCAGUGGGGAAGAAAGCCUUGGGGCUAAUACCCUCGAGGAGGACAUCACCCACAGAAGAAGCACCGGCUAACUCCGUGCCAGCAGCCGCGGUAAUACGGAGGGUGCGAGCGUUAAUCGGAAUUACUGGGCGUAAAGCGCGCGUAGGCGGUCUGAUAAGCCGGUUGUGAAAGCCCCGGGCUCAACCUGGGAACGGCAUCCGGAACUGUCAGGCUAGAGUGCAGGAGAGGAAGGUAGAAUUCCCGGUGUAGCGGUGAAAUGCGUAGAGAUCGGGAGGAAUACCAGUGGCGAAGGCGGCCUUCUGGACUGACACUGACGCUGAGGUGCGAAAGCGUGGGUAGCAAACAGGAUUAGAUACCCCAGUAGUC